AGUGAACGCUGGCGGUAGGCCUAACACAUGCAAGUCGAACGGCAGCACAGUAAGAGCUUGCUCUUACGGGUGGCGAGUGGCGGACGGGUGAGGAAUACAUCGGAAUCUACUUUUUCGUGGGGGAUAACGUAGGUAAACUUACGCUAAUACCGCAUACGACCUACGGGUGAAAGCAGGGGAUCUUCGGACCUUGCGCGAUUGAAUGAGCCGAUGUCGGAUUAGCUAGUUGGCGGGGUAAAGGCCCACCAAGGCGACGAUCCGUAGCUGGUCUGAGAGGAUGAUCAGCCACACUGGAACUGAGACACGGUCCAGACUCCUACGGGAGGCAGCAGUGGGGAAUAUUGGACAAUGGGCGCAAGCCUGAUCCAGCCAUACCGCGUGGGUGAAGAAGGCCUUCGGGUUGUAAAGCCCUUUUGUUGGGAAAGAAAAGCAGCAGGCUAAUACCCCGCUGUUCUGACGGUACCCAAAGAAUAAGCACCGGCUAACUUCGUG
rnacentral:rRNA from 1 species